rnacentral:sRNA from 1 species
UUUCCAGUUAACUGCUCAGAAGAGAGAUGCUGAAGAGCUGUAGUCGUGCAUCCUUCUCACCCUCCUGUUAGAAAGCCUCCUCUCAUCCUCAGAAGACUACUGUCAGAGGAUGUAGGAAUGGACAUCCCCUUUGAAGAGGGCGUGCUGAGUCCCAGUGCUGCAGACAUGAGGCCUGAACCUCCUAAUUCUCUGGAUCUUAAUGACACUCAUCCUCGGAGAAUCAAGCUCACAGCCCCAAAUAUCAAUCUUUCUCUGGACCAAAGUGAAGGAUCUAUUCUCUCUGAUGAUAACUUGGACAGUCCAGAUGAAAUUGACAUCAAUGUGGAUGAACUUGAUACCCCUGAUGAAGCAGAUUCUUUUGAGUACGCUGGCCAUGAAGAUCCCACAGCCAACAAAGAUUCUGGCCAAGAGUCAGAGUCUAUUCCAGAAUAUACGGCCGAAGAGGAACGGGAGGACAACCGGCUUUGGAGGACAGUGGUGAUUGGAGAACAAGAGCAGCGCAUUGACAUGAAGGUCAUCGAGCCCUACAGGAGAGUCAUUUCUCAUGGAGGUAGUCGAGCUCUGCGUGAAUCUGGGAAAUGGGGAGGGGGCAGCCAUUUUAUUUAAAAUCGUAAAGUGAGUCUAGACUUCUCCGGAACAUGACAUCUCAAAGACCCUAUUCUAGAGCCAAUAUUCAGGGAAUUGUAGAGCUAAGUAUAUUUCCUCAUAUUCAAUUCAAUAAACAUUUGAAAUCCUACUAGGCAAAGACAACUUUCCAAUAUAAAACGGGCUUUUCAUGCUACAUAUCUGAUA